UUCUCCAGUCUGUACUCUCCUGUGUCAUGGUUUACAAUGAGGAUGCACUCUUUCAUAUAAGGCCUCUUGGAUCCCUUGAAGACCGUUACAGGAGCACUGGAACCCUAAAAAGCAAAAUAAAUAAAGUUGAGAUCAGCAACAGUUGAGAUCUAUUGCGGAUUGCAAACACUCAUCCAAGUUAAAAACAUGAGCUCAGUGUCCUAAGCUCUAAAAGAGCUCUUGAAACAAGACUGCACCAUAAUCCACCUCUGAAAUCCACAUUUAUGUCUUCCAGUGUAAAGCUCUAGAGCACCAGACACUAACCUCUAAA